rnacentral:rRNA from 1 species
AUGGACACGGGGUUGGAGAUCUCCGGCGAGGUGCAGUACCGUGGCGACCCGGUCUUGGUGCCGCCCCGCCACCCAACGCCGCGCCACGCGCUUUACCUCUCUAACCUGGACGACCAGCGCUUCCUCCGCUUCUCCAUCAAGUACCUCUACGUCUUCUCCGCCGGCGCCGCCGUCCCCGCCGACGCGCUCCGGUCCGCGCUGGCCGAGGCCCUCGUUGACUACUACCCGCUGGCGGGGAGGCUCCGGCCCGGCGACGGCGAGGAGGAGGGGAAGCUCGCCGUGGACUGCAAUGCCGAAGGGGCGCUGUUCGCCGAGGGCUCCCUGCCCGGGCUCGCCGCAGCCGACUUCCUCCGCGGCGGCGGGGCCACGCCGCACAAGUCGUGGCGGAAGCUGCUGUACAGGGUCGACGCGCACGGCUUCGUCGCCGUGCCGCCUCUCGUCGUCCAGGUGACCCACCUCGGCUGCGGCGGCAUGGUGCUGUGCACGGCCAUCAACCACUGCCUCUGCGACGGCAUCGGCACGGCGCAGUUCCUGCACGCCUGGGCGCGCGCCGCCAGGUCCGACAUCGCCGGUAGCGGUGACCACCCCGUCGUCCACGACCGCCGCGCCCUGCGCCCGCGCUGCCCGCCGCGCGUCGAGUUCACGCACCCGGAGUAUUGCCAGGACGCCGUCGCCAACGACAAGCCCACCCUCCUGGAGCACCUGCUGGGCCAGCCGCUCUCGCCAGUGUCCCUCACCUUCACGGGGGCGCACCUGGGGCACCUCAAGAAGCAGUUGCUGCUGUCGGCGCCGGUGCUCAAGUGCUGCACCUCCUUCGAGGCGCUGGCGGCCACGGUGUGGCGCGCGUGGGUGCGCGCGCUGGACCCGCCGGCGGCGCUCCGCGUGAAGCUCCUCUUCUCGGUGAACGCCCGGCGUCACCUAAAGCCGGAGCUCCCCCAUGGAUACUACGGCAAUGGUUUCGUGCUCGGGUGCGCCGAGUCUACGGCCGGGCAGGUGGCGGCGGUGGCUGCGCCGGCGACGGUGAUCCGGCUCGUGCAGGAGGCCAAGGAGCGCGUGGACGACGACUACGUGCGGUCCAUGGUGGACCUCCUGGAGGAGCGUCGUGUCGGCGCCGGCGGUGGAGCCAAGCCUGACCUGUCGGCGAGCCUGGUGAUCUCGGCAUGGACGAGGCUGGGGCUGGAGGACCUCGACUUCGGCGCGGGCACGCCGGCGCACAUGGGCCCGCUCACCAGCGAGAUAUACUGCGUGUUCGUCCCGGUGGCAGGCGACCCCGGCGGCGUCACCGUGCUCGUCUCCGUCCCGCAGGCGGCCACCGACAAGUUCGAGCACUACUGCUGCAACCCUGUUGAACCCAGUGGAAUGGAAGAAACGGACGGCGGUGCCAUUGCCGGUAUGCUGGAGCGCGACGAGCAGCAGCAACCCUGUCAUGGACAUGAGAUCAAGAUCGAUUACUAA